rnacentral:rRNA from 1 species
GCCUAAUACAUGCAAGUCGAGCGAGAAGACGUAGCAAUACGUUUGUAAAGCGGCGAACGGGUGAGGAAUACAUGGGUAACCUACCCUCGAGUGGGGAAUAACUAGCCGAAAGGUUAGCUAAUACCGCGUACGCUUCUUGGACUUCGGUUCAGGGAGGAAAGCGAUACCGUGGGUAUCGCGCUCUUGGAUGGGCUCAUGUCCUAUCAGCUUGUUGGUGAGGUAACGGCUCACCAAGGCUUCGACGGGUAGCUGGUCUGAGAGGACGAUCAGCCACACUGGCACUGCGACACGGGCCAGACUCCUACGGGAGGCAGCAGUAAGGAAUAUUGCGCAAUGGGCGAAAGCCUGACGCAGCGACGCCGCGUGGGGGAUGAAGGUCUUCGGAUUGUAAACCCCUUUCGGGAGGGAAGAUGGAAUGGGGUAACCCAUUCGGACGGUACCUCCAGAAGCAGCCACGGCUAACUUCGUGCCAGCAGCCGCGGUAAUACGAAGGUGGCAAGCGUUGUUCGGAUUUACUGGGCGUACAGGGAGCGUAGGCGGACGUUUAAGUGUGGCCUGAAA